rnacentral:rRNA from 1 species
GACAGAGGGUGCAAACGUUGUUCGGAAUUACUGGGCGUAAAGCGCGUGUAGGCGGCUCGGCAAGUCGGGUGUGAAAGCCCUGGGCUUAACCUAGGAAGUGCACUCGAAACUGCCAAGCUUGAGUUCUGGAGAGGAAGGCGGAAUUCUCGGUGUAGAGGUGAAAUGCGUAGAUAUCUGGAGGAACACCGGUGGCGAAGGCGGCAUCCUGGACCAAGCACUGACACUGAUGAGCGAAAGCCAGGGGGAGCAAACGGGG